GCGCCAACAGCGGUUGGACAGGGGCUCUGGGGUGUAAGAGAAACGGGGCGCCGCUCACGGGUCACCUCGCUGCGACCGGGCACAGGCUGCGAGGAACUGCAGUUCGGCCUCCCGGGACGCACACACGGCGCCGACGACGAGCAGGUGGCCCUCGUAGGGCGGCCCCGCGCCCGUCGCCCGCGCGACCGCUUACCUCAGCCAUCCUGCAGCCGCUGCGGAGCCGGCCUUCCCGGCGCGCGUCCCCUGCCCGGGCCGCUCCGCGUCCGCCCCGGCUCGGCGACCGCCGCAUCCACGCUCUGGCCGUCUGGGCCACCCCCGCCCCCCCUGCGCAGGAGAAGUGGGCGGCUCCCCGCGGCGCCGGGUGACCGCGCCGGCCCUUGCGCCCCUCGUGCACCCUCGCGUCCGCCCCGCGCCCCGGGGUCCGCCCCUCCGCUCGCCCCGCCCCGCGCCCCUACUCCGGCCGCCGGGGGCUGCGGGCGACGCUCGAGGGGGUGUGGGGAGGCCACGCAGAGUCGCCUCGGUUGAGGCCAGGCCGCGGCCCCCCGCGCACAGCGGAGACCUCGGCGGCCGCGGGCGCGGAGGUGUCUGCCCCCGGCGGGCUUGAAGGCACUUGUUGA
rnacentral:lncRNA from 1 species